rnacentral:rRNA from 1 species
GAGGCAUGCUGGAGGUAUCAGAAGUGCGAAUGCUGACAUAAGUAACGAUAAAGCGGGUGAAAAGCCCGCUCGCCGGAAGACCAAGGGUUCCUGUCCAACGUUAAUCGGGGCAGGGUGAGUCGACCCCUAAGGCGAGGCCGAAAGGCGUAGUCGAUGGGAAACGGGUUAAUAUUCCCGUACUUGGUGUUACUGCGAAGGGGGGACGGAGAAGGCUAUGUUGGCCGGGCGACGGUUGUCCCGGUUUAAGCGUGUAGGUGUGUGUUCCAGGUAAAUCCGGUUCACUUUAACACUGAGGCGUGAUGACGAGGCACUACGGUGCUGAAGCAACAAAUGCCCUGCUUCCAGGAAAAGCCUCUAAGCAUCAGGUAACAUCAAAUCGUACCCCAAACCGACACAGGUGGUCAGGUAGAGAAUACCAAGGCGCUUGAGAGAACUCGGGUGAAGGAACUAGGCAAAAUGGUGCCGUAACUUCGGGAGAAGGCACGCUGACACGUAGGUGAAGUGAUUUACUCAUGGAGCUGAAGUCAGUCGAAGAUACCAGCUGGCUGCAACUGUUUAUUAAAAACACAGCACUGUGCAAACACGAAAGUGGACGUAUACGGUGUGACGCCUGCCCGGUGCCGGAAGGUUAAUUGAUGGGGUCAGCGCAAGCGAAGCUCCUGAUCGAAGCCCCGGUAAACGGCGGCCGUAACUAUAACGGUCCUAAGGUAGCGAAAUUCCUUGUCGGGUAAGUUCCGACCUGCACGAAUGGCGUAAUGAUGGCCAGGCUGUCUCCACCCGAGACUCAGUGAAAUUGAACUCGCUGUGAAGAUGCAGUGUACCCGCGGCAAGACGGAAAGACCCCGUGAACCUUUACUAUAGCUUGACACUGAACAUUGAGCCUUGAUGUGUAGGAUAGGUGGGAGGCUUUGAAGCGUGGACGCCAGUCUGCGUGGAGCCGACCUUGAAAUACCACCCUUUAAUGUUUGAUGUUCUAACGUGGACCCGUGAUCCGGGUUGCGGACAGUGUCUGGUGGGUAGUUUGACUGGGGCGGUCUCCUCCUAAAGAGUAACGGAGGAGCACGAAGGUUGGCUAAUCCUGGUCGGACAUCAGGAGGUUAGUGCAAUGGCAUAAGCCAGCUUGACUGCGAGCGUGACGGCGCGAGCAGGUGCGAAAGCAGGUCAUAGUGAUCCGGUGGUUCUGAAUGGAAGGGCCAUCGCUCAACGGAUAAAAGGUACUCCGGGGAUAACAGGCUGAUACCGCCCAAGAGUUCAUAUCGACGGCGGUGUUUGGCACCUCGAUGUCGGCUCAUCACAUCCUGGGGCUGAAGUAGGUCCCAAGGGUAUGGCUGUUCGCCAUUUAAAGUGGUACGCGAGCUGGGUUUAGAACGUCGUGAGACAGUUCGGUCCCUAUCUGCCGUGGGCGCUGGAGAACUGAGGGGGGCUGCUCCUAGUACGAGAGGACCGGAGUGGACGCAUCACUGGUGUUCGGGUUGUCAUGCCAAUGGCACUGCCCGGUAGCUAAAUGCGGAAGAGAUAAGUGCUGAAAGCAUCUAAGCACGAAACUUGCCCCGAGAUGAGUUCUCCCUGAGACUUAAAGUCUCCUGAAGGAACGUUGAAGACGACGACGUUGAUAGGCCGGGUGUGUAAGCGCAGCGAUGCGUUGAGCUAACCGGUACUAAUGAACCGUGAGGCUUAACCUUACAACGCCGAAG